GGGGCCGUAGCUUAGUGGUAGAGCAGGUGUCCUGUGUGCUGAAGGUCCCAGGUUCAAUCCCUGGUAUUUCCA